GACUCUGUAGCUCAGUUGGUUGGAGCACUGCACUGGAAUCGCAGGGCCGCAGGUGUAAUACUUCGAUUCCUGCCAGAGGUC